GGGGCCGUUAAUGGUUUCGACGGGGAUGACAACUGUGUGACUGGCAGGUCGAGUUGAAGGCACUCGUUAAACGACUUCACAAAAACAACUGCAAACGAUAACGUUGCAAAAGCUCCUGCCUUCGCGGCAGCUGCUUAAAAACUGGCCCCUUUAGCGGGCCACGUUCAUGGCGCGGGUCUCCCCAGUCGGUGUCAUGGGCGUAACUAAUUGGGGAUCGUCCUUAAGUUUUGUCUACUGGCUUAAGGGCUAAAAAUAAAUAGGCCCGCCUUUGAGUACCGGUUACGGGGUAAACUAAAGGGUUAAAUCCAAACUGUGACUAAACCUGUAGAAGGCAUACGGAAGCUUUUUCGGACGUGGGUUCGACUCCCACCGGCUCCACAU
rnacentral:tmRNA from 1 species